CCUCCCAUCCACAGUGUGCUUUUGCUGUCUGCGGGGGGAAGGGAGAGUUCGGCUCCUGCAACACCCACAAGGCCAAGGGCCCCAGGAAAGGGGAGGGGCAAGAUCAUUACUCAAUCAGCCUGGCCAGCUUUGGAGGAUGCCACCUCAUGGGCAUCCCUCCAAAGUGACAUGGCCCCCUGCCCCUCGCCUCACUGACUGCCUGCAGCUGCUCUAUCCCAGGGGACUUGGCUCCACUGCCGAAUUGACCUUUGAGGCUCCAAAUGAGGUCUCAUCUCAGUCUCCCCACCAAGAAGUCCUGCAGGUCUCUUGCUCCAGGGAGGAAUGGUAGAGGGACCAGAGCUGUUUCUUCCCACCCCGUCUCUGCCCUGGCCCAUAAGGCCAGAAGAAGAAAGGCAUGAAGACAAGACAGGGCUGUGAACCCGUGUCACAUAGGGACGGCUGGUGAAACUUCUCCUGGCACUGAGGACUUGGCUGUGGGCAGAACUGAGCUUGGAUGAACUCUGAGAGGGCAGCGUAGCUGUUAACUGCAACAGAGAACCCAGAGUGACUGGGAAGUCUUCCCACAGGCGUCUGGACUUUGGCAUUGAAUGGGAAGGCACAUUUGCCCUGAGUCUAGAGCCGAACCUCACACCUUCAAUGAGCAAUUGCCUCUGUCCUUGUUUUAAGUGAACUAUUGACCGAAAAUGGCCACAUGGAAGAGAAAGGCACCCAGUUGAUGAACAAGACAUAGGGCACAGCCCCAGCUGCGACAGAAGUCAUGGGUUCAUGACCCAGCUCUGACCUUCCAGGCUGUGGGACUUCUGAGGCAGCUGCUGAGCCUGGAACCCAGCCCCUCCCCUCUUCUUAGACCCAUGAGGACAUGGAACACGGAUGUUCUUCCUCUUUGAGGCCCCAGCCUGGUUCCUGACAAGCAGAAAUCAUUUGAUGAAGACAUAACUGCUACUGAUAAACCCCAAGGCUUUAGAAUCUCAACUGGCCAGACCUACUGGGUGGGAAAUUCAAGAGGCCUGCUCGGGGCUAGGUGGCUGCUGUAUGUCUAUCUGUUCUAAUGACUGCUACGCCACAAGUCAUCUGCAACCACUUACAUGUCUGCACCUCCAGAACUGCUCUGAAUGUGGGUGCCCCAUGCAUCCCCUACUUGCCCAGUGUCUACCUCCCAUGGUCAUAGUCCCUUGAGACACACUUUCCAAGACCUCCUGCUACCAAGGGCUCUACCCGCCCCCCCGCCCUGCCCCCAGCCACAGAGGGCACAGACUGAGCACAGAUGGAACAGGCCCAAGCACUGGACACCUUCCUGGAUCCAACCCUGUUUAAGAACAGAAAGGCAGAAGGAGAGGCCUGGGAGGGGUAUGCCGUCCCCAUCCCAGCCCAAGUCCCCACCUCCCAAGCAGAAACCAGGAGCAUGGGGGGAGCCUCAACUGACCUCCCAGGAAGAGCCAGAGCUGAGUGGUGCCUGGACCAGGGAAGACGGCACGCACGUUGACUCGGUAGCAAGUGGAGGUAUCUGGGGGUCGCAAGGGGCAGGGACCCCCCACGAAAUUCAUGCAGCAUUCAAAGUGAGUGUUUGGGGGUGAUAGGAGAGGACAGAGAAACAGCCAGUGGGUGGGGGUGGUGCCCUAGAUCUUGCUGUUCUCCAGGUGGGAGUCAAUGUGUUUGAUGAGGGCAUCAUCCGGGUACCCGACAGGGAAACCCAGCUGGCAGAGGGGGCAGCUGCGGAUGUCGGAGCCCACCGUCUCCAUCAGCAACUGUGGGGAGAGAAGGAAGUCACUUAUGGUCCCCAGCCCCCACCCAUGAUCCCCACAUCCCAGCCUGCCCUGUCCCAGGACCCAGGGCAGGGAGGGCUGUGGCAUGCAGGAGAGGUUCUGCCACCCUUUCUUCAGCACUGUCCUCCCCCACACCAGCUCAGUGUCCACCCACUUGCCCAGGGACAGGGUCCCCAGGAGGCAGGUAUGAGAGAGUCACUGCUCAGCUUGCCAGGGCAUCUGUGGUAAUGAGGGAAACCAAGACCCAGACAUGCCCCCAGCGUGACUAAGACACAGCUCCCGGAUAACUCAAAGCAAUGGACAAUCCUAAACAAGGUACAACCCCAAAAUAA